UUCGGAAUGAAACCUGAUAUGACUUAGUGGCGGACGGGUGAGUAACACGUGAGCAACCUGCCUUUCAGAGGGGGAUAACGGCUGGAAACGGUCGCUAAUACCGCAUGACGUGUUCGGAUGGCAUCAUCUGAACAUCAAAGAUUUAUCGCUGAAAGAUGGGCUCGCGUCUGAUUAGAUAGUUGGUGGGGUAACGGCCUACCAAGUCGACGAUCGGUAGCCGGACUGAGAGGUCGAACGGCCACAUUGGAACUGAGACACGGUCCAAACUCC
rnacentral:rRNA from 1 species